rnacentral:lncRNA from 1 species
GGGGAGACAGUUGGGGAAGAGAAGCUCACUAUCGGAAGAGAAGAGUGGAUGACCUCCUGUUGGACGCCGCCGGCGAUCAGUCUUCCUCCUACAGGAAGCUUUCUAGCGGCAAAUAUGCUUGUCUCCUUUGCCCUCAUACUCCCGUCUUUGAUACUCCUAUGCAUAUGAAAUCAAGACGCCAUCUUGCUGCAGAAAGUAGGUUCAAACAAAACGAAGAAGAAAGACAAAAUGAGAUGAAUAAGCGAAUAGCGUUGUCGCUAGAAUCUACUUCCACGAGCAAAACUGGUAACACACCUACAAAGCAGGCAAACUUAGCUAGCAAACCAUUGACUGAAAAAACUCGAAAGGCCACUUUUGAUCUACUUCACCGUAGUCAUCCUGAACAAGGUACUACAGUUAACAGCGAUUC